rnacentral:rRNA from 1 species
GACGAACGCUGGCGGCGUGCUUAACACAUGCAAGUCGAACGGUAAGGCCCCUUCGGGGGUACACGAGUGGCGAACGGGUGGGUAACAGGUGAGCAACCUGCCCUUGACUUUGGGAUACCAGCUGGAAACAGCUGCUAGUACCGGAUAUGACCUCUUCUCUCAUGGGUUGAGGUGGAAAGCUCCGGCGGUCAGGGAUGGGCUCGCGGCCUAUCAGCUUGUUGGUGAGGUAAUGGCUCACCAAGGCUUAGACGGGUAGCCGGCCUGAGAGGGCGACCGGCCACACUGGGACUGAGAUACGGCCCAGACUCCUACGGGAGGCAGCAGUGGGGAAUAUUGCACAAUGGGCGCAAGCCUGAUGCAGCAACGCCGCGUGCGGGAUGACGGCCUUCGGGUUGUAAACCGCUUUCAGUAGGGACGAAGCUAACGUGACGGUACCUACAGAAGAAGGACCGGCUAACUACGUG